rfam:Ixodes scapularis strain Wikel colony gcontig_1107728797488, whole genome shotgun sequence.
UUUUGGGAGGAUUGACAUAUUGAGAGCUCUUUUUUGAAUCGUUGGGUGGUGGUGCUUGACCGUUCUUAGUUGGUGGAGCGAUCUGUCUGGUUAAUUUCGAUAACGAGCGAGACUCUAGCCUAUUAAAUAGUUGCUUGGUUCUCUGCACCUUGCACCCUUCUUAGAGGGACAAGCAGCUCCUAGCCGCACGAAGCGAAACAAUCACAGGUUUGUGAUGCCCUUAGAU